rnacentral:rRNA from 1 species
UACAGAGGGGGCAAGCGUUGUUCGGAAUUACUGGGCGUAAAGGGCGCGUAGGCGGCCUGUUAAGUCGGACGUGAAAUCCCUGGGCUCAACCCAGGAACUGCGUCCGAUACUGGCAGGCUUGAAUCCGGGAGAGGGAUGCGGAAUUCCAGGUGUAGCGGUGAAAUGCGUAGAUAUCUGGAGGAACACCGGUGGCGAAGGCGACAUCCUGGACCGGCAUUGACGCUGAGGCGCGAAAGCCAGGGGAGCAAACGGG